GAUAAUUUUAUAAAUUUUAUUUGUUGACUUUUUUUUUUUUAAUUCUAAUAACCGAUAAGAAGUAUAUGUUUAUGGAUUAUUUAAACUUUUAAUUAUUUUCAUUCAUAAGUAAUAUUAAAAAGAAUAUGGAUUAUUAUUAUUGCCUUUUAUACAAAACCCUCUCUCCCGUCAAAUUUCUUCCCCAUCCUUCUUCCAACGGUAACUCUCUCUACUUCCUCUCCCCUCUCCCCUUCUCUUUCGCUCUCUGUGAGUAACCCAUCUUGCCGAUCCACACCAUCAUCUUCUCCUAGCCCUAACGGCGCCAGAAUCAAGAGCGGCAGACCCCUCGGAAACCCAAUUCGUCUUCCAAAGUCCUUUUGUUCCACCGUCACCGUCAGAUCCCGACUCCAUGGUUCUUGAUUCCAAACCCUCGCCGGCUAAGUUGAAGAGCCCGCUUCCACCUAGGUCUCCCUCUUCUAACCCACUUAAGCGGAAGGUGGUAGUGCGCUUGCUGCCGCCAUCCAAGGACGGAGAUGAAGGGGAUAAUAUAAUACAAAAGGUUAUGUGUCGAUGAAGUUAGCGGACAGUGGGCAGAUGCAGAUGAAUUCUUUAAUGAGGAACAGGCUAUGUGAAAGAGACCAGGCUAUUCGCAAACUGGAAAGGGAAAUAGAAGAUAAAGAUAGGGAAUUGCAAUCAAUUAAAUUAGACAACGACGCAGCUUGGGCCAAGGAUGAUCUUCUGCGGGAACAAGAUAAGGAAAUAGCAACUUAAAGUGGAAGAGGCACUAUCAGCAUUGACAUGUACAUGUGAUUUUAAGCAAGAACCAGGAGAGUGAGAGUUUUAGUGUGCCGUAUUUAGAAUUUGCCGAUAUCUUUUUCCCGUUUCAGCAAGUAUUCCUGAUAGUGGGG